rnacentral:rRNA from 1 species
CGGAGGGUGCAAGCGUUAAUCGGAAUUACUGGGCGUAAAGCGUGCGUAGGCGGUUAUUUAAGUCAGAUGUGAAAGCCCCGGGCUUAACCUGGGAACUGCAUUUGAUACUGGGUGACUAGAGUUUAAUAGAGGGGAGUGGAAUUUCAGGUGUAGCGGUGAAAUGCGUAGAGAUCUGAAGGAACACCAGUGGCAAAGGCGACUCCCUGGAUUAAAACUGACGCUGAGGUACGAAAGCGUGGGUAGCAAACAGGAUU